CGUAACCAUGAGCAGAACUCCACCACCAGUCGAAACUACCAACUACCGCCACGUUCUUUUCUUCUUAUUGUAUUAUUCUUCUUUUUCUUCCUUCUCUUUUUACUUUUUUUAACAAGCAUCAAGAAGUAUAACCAUCAACAGAUUCAACACGACUAUUUUCAGUUGAGAAGAAGAUUUUCGAUCAAAAUCACGUCAAAUCGUUGACUACAAAAUGUGAUUAUAGUUAAUGGAUGGACAGAUUUGGAUGAUUGAAGUGAAUAAAAAAUUGGGUAUAUUGCAGUUCGUGCUAGAUUACAAUUCUAGUGUGCGUAAAGAAUUGACAGUGCAUGAAAUUGAUGUUGCUGCCGUAAAUGUGGACUGAAAGAGAUUUUGGGUUAGUGUUUGUUCCAAAGGGGUUAAUAGGAGUUUGAUAGUUCUGAAUCUUCCGAUGGGUUUAGGAGACUUUGGUUUCUUAUCUAAAGAAAUCAUCGAAAGAUGGGACCGGUUGUUUAUACUAAAACUCGUAGCGGUGAAGAUUUUGGUUGGAUAUUUAUGUGAUGGUAAACCAAUUAAAGUAGAUGAACAAAUUUUUUGUAUUCCAUAGGUUUUGAUACGGAAUAUUUUUGGUUCUGUAUCUAUACAAUCUCCAAGUGCAUUACGAACUCCGUGAAAAUCAAUAAUUGCAUCAAUAUGGAUAAUGUGAGAAGAAGAAAGCUUUUUAUAAGGAUGAUAAGGAUAGUGAUAAAUUGAAUUGCAGUUUGAUGAAAUUGGUAAUGGAGAUUUUAAGAUUUUGAUUGAAUGACCGUGAAUAAGAAGAUGAUGAAAUAACUGAAGAACAGUGGAACUAGGUAUUUACGUUAGUUUUUAUGGAUGAAUGCCUAUGAUUGUUGAGUGUUUUAGAUUCACGGUAUGAUUAUGAAACUUGGGUUCUUAUUAGAACUCAAAUUUGUAUGUGGAGGAAGAUAUUAAAGGGGUUACAAAUACAGCAAUAAAGUCACAUUUUCAUCACCAGCAGAAGCAUAGUAGGUGUUCGCCAAAAGUCUUGAAUGAGUAGAACACCUCGAUUCAAGUCACAUUGGAACCGUUUGAUCAAUUUAUUUGUAGCCAUAAAAUUAAAUUUCAUUUUUCUUAACAUCACGUGCUAACGGUGUUAAUGCACCGUUAAGUAAUUAAUGUUUAUUAAUAAUUGAACUAUUUAAGUAA